rnacentral:rRNA from 1 species
GACGAACGCUGGCGGCGUGCUUAACACAUGCAAGUCGAACGGAAAGGCCCUGCUUUUGUGGGGUGCUCGAGUGGCGAUCGGGUGAGUAACACGUGAGUAACCUGCCCUUGACUUUGGGAUAACUUCAGGAAACUGGGGCUAAUACCGGAUAGGAGCUCCUGCUGCAUGGUGGGGGUUGGAAAGUUUCGGCGGUUGGGGAUGGACUCGCGGCUUAUCAGCUUGUUGGUGGGGUAGUGGCUUACCAAGGCUUUGACGGGUAGCCGGCCUGAGAGGGUGACCGGCCACAUUGGGACUGAGAUACGGCCCAGACUCCUACGGGAGGCAGCAGUGGGGAAUAUUGCACAAUGGGCGGAAGCCUGAUGCAGCAACGCCGCGUGCGGGAUGACGGCCUUCGGGUUGUAAACCGCUUUCGCCUGUGACGAAGCGUGAGUGACGGUAAUGGGUAAAGAAGCACCGGCUAACUACGU